CUGACUUGUCAUAUCCGGAUAGAUUUUCCAUAUGUGAUAGAAACCGAAGGUUAAUAUGGAUGUGAGCCUAAAAGAAAAAGAGCAAAGGGGAAGAUGAUGGAGAAGAAUACAACAGUCAAGACAAGCACUUGGAUAUGAAAAAAAAUGAAAUAACAAAAGAAAAUUGUAAUGGGGACCUUCACACAUGGGUGUUAGAAAGAGAAGUAUACAGUGGAGCCAAUACCAAAGCUCAUCUUGAGAAUCUUUUCUAGCAAUAUGUUGGUUGCAACGAUCUUCUCUACCUUUUAUUCCUCUUAUAUUUCAACAUCUAUAAUCUUUUGUUUUAAUCAUUUUUCCCUUUGGAAAAAGAUAUAUACUUUUUCAGUUA